rnacentral:lncRNA from 1 species
AGUCAUCCAAAAUAGAGGGGAAAUUAAAACGACAAGUAAAUCAGAGUACAAAGGUUCGAGGUUUUGCAAAAUAUGAUAAACUAAAAGAAAUAAAACAACAUGAUCGCCUAAGCACUAGGUGCUGGAUCUUCCUCGGUGUCCAACGCCUGCUCCAGAGGUACAUCAUCACCUACUGCUCACAUCCAAAGGAUUGGAUGAUCAUCGCAAGGGAGGAAGCAAACACACACAACAUACAAGUGCAAGGGUGAGCUAGGUUUCAAACGAACAUACAAAUCAUAGCAAAGUGAUCAAACAUUACUGAAACAUAAUUUCACAUGCAAACAUACAAGUCAUCAUAAUCACAGGCACUUAGUUCAUAAUUUAACCAAUCAAUCAUCUUAUCAUGCGAAGACUCCUAGACACGUCCGGACAUAGAAUGAAUGUAGAGCUGGGGUGGGUUGUGCACUUGUGAUGGCCCUACUGCUUUGCAAAGCCAUUGCCGAGGGGUUCCACCCGACCAUACACAAGGCUAGUCCGUUACCGCAGUAUAGGCCUACAGUGAAAGCGCCUACCCUAGGACCUCCCACUACUCCCACCACACGCGUCGAUCUUCUCUAAGUGAGAAUGAAAGACCGUUGGAGCGUUAGGGAUAACCCCCCAUAUGGAAGCCUCUCACCAUUCAGUCUAUACACUAAUAGAUCUCACCGAGAGAUCAUGAUUUCACAACCGAAUCCAACCACUUUAUUUCCAUAAUACAUCUCUUUGAAUCAAAAUAUACAUCCAAAUUCACCAUAUGUCAUGUACACACCAUACCACAUCAACAAUUAUUAAUUGCAAUAAAAUCAAU